CCCUUAGAUGUUCUGGGCCGCACGCGUGCUACACUGAGUAAUUCAAUGGGUAAGGGAACGCUAGAGCAUUACCUAAUCUUGAAAUUUGCUCGUGAUGGGGAUCGACGGUUGCAAUUUUCCGUCGUGAACGAGGAAUACCUUGUAGGCGCAUGUCAUCAUCAUGCGCCGAAUACGUCCCUGCCCUCUGUACACACCGCCCGUCGCUCCUACCGAUUGAGUGAUCCGGUGAGGCUCUGGGACCUGGACGGAAAGAGCGUUUCGCUUGUUCUGUUUGGGAAACUUGGUCGAACCUUAUCAUUUAGAGGAAGGAGAAGUCGUAACA
rnacentral:rRNA from 1 species